ACUCAAAUGAAUUGACGGGGGCCCGCACAAGCGGUGGAGCAUGUGGUUCAAUUCGAUGCAGAGCGAAGAACCUUACCUGGGCUUGACAUGUAGGAAGUAGGACCCCGAAAGGGGGACGACCUGUUGAGUCAGGAACCUGUACAGGUGGUGCAUGGCUGUCGUCAGCUCGUGCCGUGAGGUGUUGGGUUAAGUCCCGCAACGAGCGCAACCCUCACCCUAUGUUGCCAUCGGUUCGGCCGGGCACUCUUAGGGAACUGCCGGCGAAGAGCUGGAGGAAGGGGGGGAUGACGUCAAGUCCGUAUGCCCCUUAUGCCCAGGGCUACACACAUGCUACAAUGCGCGGUACAGAGGGUUGCCAACUCGUGAGAGGGAGCCAAUCCCAGAAAGCCGCGCUCAGUUCGGAUUGCAGGCUGCAACUCGCCUGCAUGAAGUCGGAAUCGCUAGUAAGCGCAGAUCAGCAGGCUGCGCUGAAUACGUUCCCGGGCCUUGCACACACCGCCCGU
rnacentral:rRNA from 1 species